UAAGAGUGAUGGUGUGUUCUGACUAUGGG
rnacentral:piRNA from 1 species